rnacentral:rRNA from 1 species
AGUGAACGCUGGCGGUAGGCCUAACACAUGCAAGUCGAACGGCAGCACAGUAAGAGCUUGCUCUUACGGGUGGCGAGUGGCGGACGGGUGAGGAAUACAUCGGAAUCUACUUUUUCGUGGGGGAUAACGUAGGGAAACUUACGCUAAUACCGCAUACGACCUACGGGGGAAAGCAGGGGAUCUUCGGACCUUGCGCGAUUGAAUGAGCCGAUGUCGGAUUAGCUAGUUGGCGGGGUAAAGGCCCACCAAGGCGACGAUCCGUAGCUGGUCUGAGAGGAUGAUCAGCCACACUGGAACUGAGACACGGUCCAGACUCCUACGGGAGGCAGCAGUGGGGAAUAUUGGACAAUGGGCGCAAGCCUGAUCCAGCCAUACCGCGUGGGUGAAGAAGGCCUUCGGGUUGUAAAGCCCUUUUGUUGGGAAAGAAAAGCAGCAGGUUAAUACCCCGCUGUCCUGACGGUACCCAAGGAAUAAGCACCGGCUAACUUCGUG